CUGGUUGAUCCUGCCAGAGGUUACUGCUAUCGAGGUUCGACUAAGCCAUGCGAGUCGAAUGUAGCAAUACAUGGCGUACUGCUCAGUAACACGUGGACAACCUGCCCUUAGGUCGGGUAUAAACCCGGGAAACUGGGUAUAAUCCCCGAUAGGUCUCGGCUGCUGGAAUGCAUCGAGAUUUAAAGCUCCGGCGCCUAAGGAUGGGUCUGCGGCCUAUCAGGUAGUAGUGGGUGUAGCGUACCUACUAGCCUACGACGGGUACGGGUUGUGAGAGCAAGAGCCCGGAGAUGGAUUCUGAGACACGAAUCCAGGCCCUACGGGGUGCAGCAGGCGCGAAAACUUUACAAUGCUGGCAACAGCGAUAAGGGAACCUCGAGUGCCAGGUUACAAAUCUGGCUGUCGAGAUGCCUAAAAAGCAUUUCAUAGCAAGGGCCGGGCAAGACCGGUGCCAGCCGCCGCGGUAACACCGGCGGCUCGAGUGGUAACCGUUAUUAUUGGGUCUAAAGGGUCUGUAGCCGGCCGGAUAAGUCUCUUGAGAAAUCUGGCAGCUUAACUGUCAGGCUUUCAGGAGAUACUGUCUGGCUCGAGGCCGGGAGAGGUGAGAGGUACUUCAGGGGUAGGGGUGAAAUCUUGUAAUCCUUGAAGGACCACCAGUGGCGAAGGCGUCUCACCAGAACGGACCUGACGGCGAGGGACGAAAGCCAGGGGCACGAACCGGAUUAGAUACCCGGGUAGUCCUGGCCGUAAACGAUACUCGCUAGGUGUCGGCCACGGUGCGACCGUUGUCGGUGCCGUAGGGAAGCCGUGAAGCGAGCCACCUGGGAAGUACGGCCGCAAGGCUGAAACUUAAAGGAAUUGGCGGGGGAGCACCAC
rnacentral:rRNA from 1 species